CAUGUUCCUAGAGGUGUUAUGGCUGCUGUGUCACAUACCCAUCAAUAGGCAGAGAGGAAAGAGGCUGUUGUCUAUGUAUGUAUUCUGACCUAAUGAUUUCUAAAUGAUUAGUAGCCUAACAUU
ensembl:snoRNA Gm23586 predicted gene, 23586